rnacentral:lncRNA from 1 species
AAUUUUUAAUAAAAGGGACCUUUUGAGGCUCCAUAGAGCGUCCACAUCAGCAAAAAAAACUUCUCCUGAAAGAUGACACGUGGCAUAAAAUAUAGUUUUACAUUUUAAUAUUACUAAUUUUCGAAAAUUAUAAAUAAUAUGUAAACAUACAGCAUAAAAAAAAUGGAAAAAAUACAUUAAACAUAUGUAAGAUUAUCAUUUUUCGCUUGAAAAAAAGACGACUUAUCUCCAUAAUGUAACAUUACCGUUUUAUAAAAAACAAAAAACAUUAUACAUAAUUUGGAAAAUAAUAAAUAUAUGUAAACAUACAACAUAAAAAAUGGAAAUACUACAUUAAACAUAUGUACGAUUACCAUUUUACAUUUUUAUUUUAAAAAAAUAAUAUGUAAACAUACAACAUAAAAAAUGGAAAAACUACAUUAAACAUAUGUAAGAUUAUCAUUUUUCACUAAAAAAAAAGACGACUUAUCUCCAUAAUGUAACAUUACUAUUUUGUAAAAAAAAUAUUAUACAUAAUUUUGAAAAUAAUAAAUAAUAUGUAAACAUACAACAUAAAAAAUGAAAAUACUACAUUAAACAUAUGUAGGAUUACCAUUUUACACUAGAAAAAUAGAAAAAACGGCUUAUCUCCAUAAUGUAACAUUACCAUUUUUUAAAAAAAUAAAAAAAACAUAAAUAUAACUAUUUGACUAUUUGUCCAAGUUCUUCUAUUAAA